rnacentral:rRNA from 1 species
GAAACGGCUGCUAAUACCCCAUAUGCCGCGAGGUGAAAUGAAUUUCGCCUGAGGAUGAGCUCGCGUCUGAUUAGCUAGUUGGUGUAGGUAAUGGCUCACCAAGGCAUCGAUCAGUAGCUGGUCUGAGAGGAUGAUCAGCCACACUGGGACUGAGACACGGCCCAGACUCCUACGGGAGGCAGCAGUGGGGAAUUUUCCGCAAUGGGCGAAAGCCUGACGGAGCAACGCCGCGUGAGGGAUGAAGGCCUCUGGGCUGUAAACCUCUUUUAUCAAGGAAGAAGAUCUG